GACGAACGCUGGCGGCGUGCCUAAUACAUGCAAGUCGAACGAGAGCGACCGGUGCUUGCACUGGUCAAUCUAGUGGCGAACGGGUGAGUAACACGUGGGUAACCUGCCCAUCAGAGGGGGAUAACAUCCGGAAACGGAUGCUAAAACCGCAUAGGUCUUCGAGCCGCAUGGCUUGAAGAGGAAAAGAGGCGCAAGCUUCUGCUGAUGGAUGGACCCGCGGUGCAUUAGCUAGUUGGUGAGGUAACGGCUCACCAAGGCCGUGAUGCAUAGCCGACCUGAGAGGGUGAUCGGCCACAUUGGGACUGAGACACGGCCCAAACUCCUACGGGAGGCAGCAGUAGGGAAUCUUCCGCAAUGGACGCAAGUCUGACGGAGCAACGCCGCGUGAGUGAAGAAGGUUUUCGGAUCGUAAAACUCUGUUGUUAGAGAAGAACAAGUGCUAGAGUAACUGUUAGCGCCUAGAC
rnacentral:rRNA from 1 species